AACGAACGCUGGCGGCAGGCUUAACACAUGCAAGUCGAGCGCCCCGCAAGGGGAGCGGCAGACGGGUGAGUAACGCGUGGGAAUCUACCCAUCUCUACGGAAUAACGCAUGGAAACGUGUGCUAAUACCGUAUACGUCCUUCGGGAGAAAGAUUUAUCGGAGAUGGAUGAGCCCGCGUUGGAUUGGCUAGUUGGUGGGGUCAAGGCCUACCAAGGCGACGAUCCAUAGCUGGUCUGAGAGGAUGAUGAGCCACACUGGGACUGGGACACGGCCCAGACUCAUACGGGAGGUAGCGGUGGGGAAUAUUGGGCAAUGCGCGCAAACCUGAGCCAGCCAAGCCGCGUGGGUGAUGAAGGCCAUAGGGUUGGAAAGCUCUUUCACCGCUGAAGAUAAGGACGGUAGCCGAAGAAGAAGCCCCGGCUAACUUCGUGCCAGCCGCCGCGGGAAAGC
rnacentral:rRNA from 1 species